CCUACGGGAGGCAGCAGUGGGGAAUAUUGGGCAAUGGGCGCAAGCCUGACCCAGCGACGCCGCGUGAGGGAAGACGGUCUUCGGAUUGUAAACCUCUGUUGCAGGGGAAGAAUAAAGUGACGGUACCCUGCUAGAAAGCCCCGGCAAACUACGUGCCAGCAGCCGCGGUAAU
rnacentral:rRNA from 1 species